rnacentral:rRNA from 1 species
AUUGAACGCUGGCGGAAUGCUUUACACAUGCAAGUCGAACGGUAGAGGGGGCAACCCCUCGAGAGUGGCGAACGGGUGAGUAAUAUAUCGGGACGUGCCCAGUCGUGGGGGAUAACGUAGCGAAAGUUACGCUAAUACCGCAUACGAUCUAAGGAUGAAAGCGGGGGAUCGCAAGACCUCGCGCGAUUGUAGCGGCCGAUAUCAGAUUAGGUAGUUGGUGGGGUAAAGGCUCACCAAGCAAACGAUCUGUAGCUGGUCUGAGAGGACGACCAGCCACACUGGAACUGAGACACGGUCCAGACUCCUACGGGAGGCAGCAGUGGGGAAUUUUGGACAAUGGACGCAAGUCUGAUCCAGCCAUUCCGCGUGCAGGAUGAAGGCCCUCGGGUUGUAAACUGCUUUUGUACGGAACGAAAAGGUCUCUCUUAAUACGGGGGGCUCAUGACGGUACCGUAAGAAUAAGCACCGGCUAACUACGUGCCAGCCGCCGCCGUAA